rnacentral:rRNA from 1 species
UACGAAGGGGGCUAGCGUUGCUCGGAAUCACUGGGCGUAAAGGGCGCGUAGGCGGCGUUUUAAGUCGGGGGUGAAAGCCUGUGGCUCAACCACAGAAUGGCCUUCGAUACUGAGGCGCUUGAGUAUGGUAGAGGUUGGUGGAACUGCGAGUGUAAAGGUGAAAUUCGUAGAUAUUCGCAAGAACACCGGUGGCGAAGGCGGCCAACUGGACCAUUACUGACGCUGAGGCGCGAAAGCGUGGGGAGCAAACAGG